rnacentral:rRNA from 1 species
UGGGACUGAGACACGGCCCAGACUCCUACGGGAGGCAGCAGUGGGGAAUAUUGCACAAUGGGCGCAAGCCUGAUGCAGCGACGCCGCGUGAGGGAUGACGGCCUUCGGGUUGUAAACCUCUGUUAGCAUCGAAGAAGCGAAAGUGACGGUAGGUGCAGAGAAAGCGCCGGCUAACUACGUGCCAGCAGCCGCGGUAAUACGUAGGGCGCGAGCGUUGUCCGGAAUUAUUGGGCGUAAAGAGCUUGUAGGCGGUUGGUCGCGUCUGCUGUGAAAGGCUGGGGCUUAACCCUGGUUUUGCAGUGGGUACGGGCUAACUAGAGUGCAGUAGGGGAGACUGGAAUUCCUGGUGUAGCGGUGGAAUGCGCAGAUAUCAGGAGGAACACCGAUGGCGAAGGCAGGUCUCUGGGCUGUAACUGACGCUGAGAAGCGAAAGCAUGGGGAGCGAACAGGAUUAGAUACCCUGGUAGUCCAUGCCGUAAACGUUGGGCACUAGGUGUGGGGGACAUUCCACGUUUUCCGCGCCGUAGCUAACGCAUUAAGUGCCCCGCCUGGGGAGUACGGCCGCAAGGCUAAAACUCAAAGAAAUUGACGGGGGCCCGCACAAGCGGCGGAGCAUGCGGAUUAAUUCGAUGCAACGCGAAGAACCUUACCAAGGCUUGACAUAUACUGGACUGCGUCAGAGAUGGCGUUUCCCUUCGGGGCUGGUAUACAGGUGGUGCAUGGUUGUCGUCAGCUCGUGUCGUGAGAUGUUGGGUUAAGUCCCGCAACGAGCGCAACCCUCGUUCUAUGUUGCCAGCACGUGAUGGUGGGGACUCAUAGGAGACUGCCGGGGUCAACUCGGAGGAAGGUGGGGAUGACGUCAAAUCAUCAUGCCCCUUAUGUCUUGGGCUUCACGCAUGCUACAAUGGCCGGUACAGAGGGCUGCGAUACCGUGAGGUGGAGCGAAUCCCUUAAAGCCGGUCUCAGUUCGGAUCGGUGUCUGCAACUCGACACCGUGAAGUUGGAGUCGCUAGUAAUCGCAGAUCAGCAACGCUGCGGUGAAUACGUUCCCGGGCCUUGUACACACCGCCCGUCAAGUCACGAAAGUUGGUAACACCCGAAGCCGGUGGCCUAACCCUGGUGGGGGGAGCCGUCGAAGGUGGGACUGGCGAUUGGGACUAAGUCGUAACAAGGUAGCCGUACCGGAAGGUGCGGCUG